CUUAUCAAGAGUGGUGGAGGGAACGGCCCUGUGAAGCCCGGCAACCUGCUUUCUGCAAGGUGCUAAAUCCGGCGUGGGAAUCGAAAGAUGAGG
rnacentral:ncRNA from 1 species